rnacentral:rRNA from 1 species
AAUGUGGAAUUCGCCCUUGUGCCAGCCGCCGCGGUAAUACGUAGGUGGCAAGCGUUGUCCGGAAUUAUUGGGCGUAAAGGGCUCGCAGGCGGUUUCUUAAGUCUGAUGUGAAAGCCCCCGGCUCAACCGGGGAGGGUCAUUGGAAACUGGGGAACUUGAGUGCAGAAGAGGAGAGUGGAAUUCCACGUGUAGCGGUGAAAUGCGUAGAGAUGUGGAGGAACACCAGUGGCGAAGGCGACUCUCUGGUCUGUAACUGACGCUGAGGAGCGAAAGCGUGGGGAGCGAACAGGAUUAGAUACCCUGGUAGUCCACGCCGUAAACGAUGAGUGCUAAGUGUUAGGGGGUUUCCGCCCCUUAGUGCUGCAGCUAACGCAUUAAGCACUCCGCCUGGGGAGUACGGUCGCAAGACUGAAACUCAAAGGAAUUGACGAGGGCCCGCACAAGCGGUGGAGCAUGUGGUUUAAUUCGAAGCAACGCGAAGAACCUUACCAGGUCUUGACAUCCUCUGACAAUCCUAGAGAUAGGACGUCCCCUUCGGGGGCAGAGUGACAGGUGGUGCAUGGUUGUCGUCAGCUCGUGUCGUGAGAUGUUGGGUUAAGUCCCGCAACGAGCGCAACCCUUGAUCUUAGUUGCCAGCAUUCAGU